UACGAAGGGGGCUAGCGUUACUCGGAUUGACUGGGCGUAAAGGGCGCGUAGGCGGUUUGUACAGUCAGACGUGAAAUUCCUGGGCUCAACCUGGGGGCUGCGUUUGAUACGUGCAGACUUGAGUUCGGAAGAGGGUCGUGGAAUUCCCAGUGUAGAGGUGAAAUUCGUAGAUAUUGGGAAGAACACCGGUGGCGAAGGCGGCGACCUGGUCCGAUACUGACGCUGAGGCGCGAAAGCUAGGGGAGCAAACAGG
rnacentral:rRNA from 1 species